GCACCUGUGGCCAAGCAGUAAGGCAAUCGGCUGCAACCCGAUGAUCCUGGGUGCAAUUCCCAGCAGGUGCU
rnacentral:tRNA from 1 species